rnacentral:lncRNA from 1 species
AAUCUAUUGAAGCGUUCAGCUGAUGAACAAUAAAGAAUUAUAAGGAUCAAAUCAUUCAGUUAUUAUGUCAACAUUAGCCUUUCAGUUAUCAAUAAUAUUAAUAUUUCUUAAAAACUGAAUAAAUUAAUAAUUAGAGAUUAGAGUUCAAUGCCUGCUUGCAUUGCAUUCAAUUGUACUUCAAGAACCCCUGGCUUUUUCUAGAUUCCUAGAAAAUUAUAUUGCUAGUAAAUCGUGGAAGAAAUGUAAAUAUAAACAUUAAUAUGUGAUAAUAUUCUUUUAGCAGGUCCUAAAAAUCACGCAAGGCUAAAGAAAUGGAUAUUAAUCUGUCGUUGCCAAGAUGUGAAACAAUCCAAAUGGUCAAGGAUAUAUUUAAAGCACUUCAAGGACUCUGAGAUCAUCAAACACAAAGUUAAGUGCACUUUUGUUAGUUGAUGAUGGAGCAGUCCCCCUCCCCCCUUCUCCCCAUUUUCUACUUUCCAAUGUACUUAAAAAAAGUGGAGUCUCAUUGAGGAAUCUUAAAGCGAAGAACGUAUGAAGAAGACAGUACUAAAAAAUUAAUUCUAAUGACACGAUUGAAAAAAUGCCAACUGUAAAUAUAGUCAUUACUCAUAAAUAUGCCCUAUCUACUACUAUUUAUUUCUUUAAAUGUUAGAGUUAAUUUGUAGAUUUUCAAUUGUUGUUUUUUUC